UACGGAGGGGGCUAGCGUUGUUCGGAAUUACUGGGCGUAAAGCGCACGUAGGCGGCUUUGUAAGUUAGAGGUGAAAGCCUGGUGCUCAACACCAGAAUUGCCUUUAAGACUGCAUCGCUUGAACGUCGGAGAGGUGAGUGGAAUUCCGAGUGUAGAGGUGAAAUUCGUAGAUAUUCGGAAGAACACCAGUAGCGAAGGCGGCUCACUGGACGACUGUUGACGCUGAGGUGCGAAAGCGUGGGGAGCAAACAGG
rnacentral:rRNA from 1 species